GCUCACCUCCUCCGGCAUUGGAGGGACUCAUGGCUGCGGCGGCCCCGCGGGGACGGCAGUGGAGCGAAUCCAAAGCGUUCGGUCGGGCGGUGAGGCUGCUGCAGCGCCUGGAAGAGCAAUGCGGUGACCCCCGGCUCGCCUCGAGUCCCCCCUCGCUGCGGGACCUGCUGCCCCGCACCGCGCAGCUGCUGCGCGAGGUGGCGCACGCCCGGCGGGCAGGCGGCGGAGACGGCCCCGAGGGUCCCGGUGGUGCGAAGGACUUUCUCGUGGUCUAUCUCGCUAACCUGGAGGCCAAGAGCAGGCAGGUGGCGGCGCUGCUGCCACCCCGGGGCCGGAAGACUACCAACGACGAGCUCUUCCGGGAGGGCUCCAGACUCAGGCGACAGCUGGCCAAGCUGACCCUCAUCUUCAGCCACAUGUGCGCGGAGCUGGGCGCACUCUUCCCUGGGGGCAAAUACUGUGGACACACGUACCAGCUCACCAAGGUCCCGGCCCACACUUUCUGGAGAGACCAUUGCGGAGCCCGGUGUGUGCUGCCCUGGGCUGAGUUUGAGCUGCUUCUGUGCCUCUGCCACCCCGUGGAGCCUGGCUGCACCACCCUGGCCUUGCGCUCCACUAUUGACCUCACCUGCAGCGGCCAUGUGUCCAUGUUCGAGUUUGACAUCUUCACCAGGCUCUUCCAGCCAUGGCCAACACUCCUCAAGAACUGGCAGCUCCUGGCCGUCAACCACCCAGGCUACAUGGCCUUCCUCACUUACGAUGAGGUCCGAGCACGUCUGCAGACCUACAGAGACAAGCCAGGCAGCUACGUCUUCCGGCCCAGCUGCACUCGCCCGGGGCAGUGGGCCAUCGGAUUCGUGAGCUCAGAUGGCAACAUCCUGCAGACCAUCCCUGUCAACAAACCUCUGUUCCAGGCACUCCUGGAAGGACAAAAGGAAGGCUUCUACCUCUACCCAGAUGGGAAGAACCACAACCCGGACCUGACCGAACUCUGCCAGAUGAAACCCCAUCAGCGUGUCCACGUGUCGGAGGAGCAGCUGCAGCUGUACUGGGCCAUGGACUCCACGUUUGAGCUCUGCAAGAUCUGUGCCGAGAGCAACAAGGACGUGAAGGUGGAGCCGUGCGGGCACCUGCUCUGUAGCCGCUGCCUGGCUACCUGGCAGCACUCAGACAGCCAGACCUGCCCCUUCUGCCGCUGCAAGAUCAAGGGCCAAGCGGCUGUGAUUAUCCAUGAGCUCAAAGCCAGCACCACUGCUGAGGACUCAGAGGACAGCAAUGACAACGGAGGGGAGCUGCAGCAGGUGACCCCGUCACCUCCUCCCCUGCCCCCUCGGCUGGAUCUGCCCCCCGAGAGUCUGAGAAGCAAAUACCAGCUGAAGGUGGCACCUCUGGCGCUCCCCAGACUUCGAGCCCCUCUAACCUUGCCAAGAUUUUGGACUGAGGCCUCAGCCUCAUUGGAAAUCACCUCCAGCCCCCAGGCCAGGGAGGGCACCAGAGGAAACUCCUAAAGGGAAAGUCUCCCCUCCAUCUGCCCCUGAGGGACCCACGAAGGCCUGGAUGCCAGAAUCCUCACCUAGAAUCUCAGCUGCUCGGACUCUUGAGGAAGGUGGAAGGCAGGGUGCUGAUGAGAGGGCGCCUAGCGUCCUAAGCAGUAGGUACAUGAGCCAGGGCCAGAGCAACAGGGGAGUGGGUGCCUGGGGUCACUGUGCGUAAGCUUGUCCCAGGGAGCACUUUUGUCUACGCGUGAGUUGUUUCCACGUGCGUCCUGCGAUGAUCUAGUGCGGGUGGGGUUUGCACGUGAGCCUGUGUGCUUCUGCGUUUGAGCCUUGCAAGCCUUCCCUGAGUGCCUGCUCCGAGUCUGGCCUUUGCAGGGCGGUGUUGGGGACACAACAGUGACCGAAACAGCCCUGGCCCUCCCCUAACCGGCUGCCGGUCCAGUGGGGGAGACAGACUUGUCCCCAGACAGAGAUGACCCAGAAUGUGCAGGGCUGGGGUGGGGGAGCCCAGAGGAGGCCCCUGACUCAGCCUAGGGGAGCAGAGAGGGCUUCCUGGAGGAGGGGAUGGUGCGGCUAAUACUAAAAGGUCACCUCUCCCAAUAUAACAAUUGCUCUCCUGUAUGGACAAGGUAGCCUUGACCAGCCUAACCAAUAACUCAGAGGCUGACCUGUAAUCUAAGACUUCCCUGGUGUCUGACCGGUGACCACCCCACCCCCAGCUGAUCAGAGGCCCGGGGAACCUCUCCCAGCAUGACCAGCUGCCCCCUAUUCUGACCAGUGUUGAGGGCUAGCUUCUCCCAGGUAACCAGUGAAAUCUCACCCCCAUCCCCCAGCCAGCAUCUAGGGAUUUUGUCCCAGUCAGGCCUGGUUUGUGAGGAGCUGUGCACAGUCUGAUCUGUGAUCCCAAGUCUGACCUGUGACCCUUCCUUCUGACCCAUGGCAGGGGCUCAUCCCUUCCCUCAGGUGCCCUGGCCUCCUCCCCUCCCCCACUCACCUGCUACUGCCAGCCGGAUUCUCUUCCCCUCCCCCCAAAGUUGGGAGGGAGUGAAGGGAAGAGAGAGGAAGGGGGGGUGGCAUUCCUGGGAUUCCCUGGAUGGGGGGAAGAGAGGGAGGGCCCUACGGAGGAGAGCGGAGGAAAGUGCACCCCACGGCCCCAGUAUCUAUCACAGAGGCGUGGGCAGACCUGGGAUUUGAAGACCAUUCGUUACAAGAGAUUGAACUGGUGGGUUCCAGGCCACUGGUCAGACAGGAAAGCAGCCUGGCGCACUGGCCACUGGGGAGGCUUCACGGGGCAUACUGGGAGAAGCCGUUCUAGGCCUCUGGUCAGGCUGGGGAUUGCUGGUUGGACUGGGGAGGCCAGUGCAGGCCACUCGUUGGACCGGGACCAGCUGUUUCAAAACGAUGAGGCGAGCCCAGGCCACCGGCCAUGGUGAGAACGAGUCCCCCGGUCAGAUUGAGGGGGAGAGAGAGGGUCCGCGGUUGUCCAUUGAGGUCCCCGCUCGGGACACCGGCUGGACUGGUCGGUCAGGGCACCCGCCGCGGGCGCUGGGCAGCCUGAGCCUGACACCCCGCGGGCUGGGGGCGGAGGGAGCCCCGCUCCCGGCUGAGCGCUGGGAGGUCGUCUCCGGGCAGUGGGAGGUCCUGGCCCCGCGCCCGGGUUUGGGAGGGACGAGGGGGGCCGGGCGGGGCGGGGCGGGGCUACCUGGGGCGGGGCCUCCUCUCUCCAGCCCUGCGGCCGCCGAGCCCCAGCCCGGGCUCAGUUGUUUCCUCCUCUGCCGCCGCGCCCGCCGCCGCCGCCCGCCGCCGCCACCCGCCACCUUGAACAUGGAGCCCCCGGACGCCCGGGCCGGGGCGCGCAGGGGCCCGCGGCUGCUGGUGCUCGCGCUUCUGCUGGGGGCGCACCGAGGUAUGGCUCGGGCUGAGAGCAGGGCGCGACUCAGGGGCGGCCCCUGGGGGACCCCGGGAAGGGAAGAGGGGAGGGGCUUUUACCAACCCAGGAAGCCUAACCUGGGGACCCCAGGGAGGAGGGAUAUGGGAGCAUGGGGUGCCCCUCCCAGUGAGAGACAUGGGGACAGCCAGGAAGAGGGGCUGGGGAUCCACUGCAGUGGAUUAGAGGCGACCUGAGAAGUCGCGGGACCCAAGAGCGCGGGCUCUCCUCUCCCUCCCCUACUCAGACCCUGGGAUCUGCCCCCAGAGGUCCAGGCUUUCAGUGGCUGGAGCUUACCCCGGCACAGAAGAGACCAAAACAGAUCUACCCGCUCAAAAGUUGUCAAGUUUUGAGGGGGUCAGGGACGCUGUGUCUAGAAACCAACAAGUUACGUGCAUUUGAGGGUUCUCCCCCAUGUAGCUUCAGAGCCCAGACUCAAAAGGACCCGCCUGCCCCGCCUCCACCUCCAUGGGAAAGGGCUGGGGCACCAGCCCUGACAGCGGAACCAAGUGUUUCCAAGUGACAGUGCCCCCUUCCCGGAGGCCCCAGAUAAUAAAAUCCACACACCUGCAUGGUGGUGGGAGGAGGGGAGGAGGCCCUGAGGCACUGGCAGCAGAGGGACAGAGAGAUGAGAGAACUGGGGUAGAAAGAGAUCUCUUCGUCCGCCCUUGCUGUCUGCCGCUCAGACCCAGCCUAGGGUACCAGCGUGGUCCCACCUCCCUCCCAGGGGGCAGGCCUGAGCCACAGGUAGGUGCCUGGGAAUCCAGGCCCCUGGCACAAGCAUGGCAAGUAGUGGGUCCCCAGGGGCAGAGCUGGGCCAGUCUGGGCGGGGAAGGGACCGGAGUUUCUAAGAAUUGAGAGCUCAGGCCAGGAUGCCAGCCCAGAGAGUGAAAGAGCCUGCUUUCCCGAUGCAAGCAGCUCUAUCUGCCAGGAUCCUGGGACAGGAGUGCCGGCCCUCAGCUCCCUUCUCCCUUGGGACCCAGGAUCCGGGCCCUCAACCCUGUACUGUUCUGAGGUGACACACUGCUCUCUCAAAGAGUCAGAGGGGCCAAGGAGCGGGCAGGGGGCUCGGGCAGGUCUGAGCCAGCCUGUCCCUCCCACAUUCCUGAAACCUGCCCAGCCCUGUCCCCCUCACCGCGCCCACACACCCACCCUGCCUCAGCUCCGGCCCAGCCCCAGCCCCAGCCUCCCACUCCUGAGGGAAAGGGCCAGGGACAGGGCCGGGCCACAUGGAGACUGAGAGAGACGCAGAGACCGGGAAACUAAGAGAUGGAGACCCAGGGGGAGUGACACACCUGCAGAGGCGGCGACUAAGAUGAGAGAGAGACGGUUAUCCCACAGCACUGUGCCAGGCCCUAUGCAAAGUGCUGGAGGCAAAGGAAUGAGCCCACCCAGCCCUGCGCUUGAGGGGCAUUUGAUAUAGUAAGAAAAGCAAGGACAGACAUGAUUUGAGCCCAAGAGGAUUGAAUGGAGGCCACCGGGGCCCUGGGUGGCC